AAAUCCGGUCUUUAUUUUUAUUCAAACAUUGACACAGACCCAACAAGACCAUCCUUAUGGAUUUCUGUUAAUAUCCCAAAGCAUGAUCAUCCAUCUUGGUGGCCAUGGAGAACUUGGGGACCAAUGUUUCUUCAGCCCUCUUUUAAUUGCCUAGGAAAUGUGCCAUUGUUUUUCUCUAGGUCUGGAGGAGAUAUUCCACCACCCGCAGAUACGAGCAAAGAAGCUAAAGAUUUACACAGAGUUACCUUGGGA